AUGGCACGCGCCGCCGCGGCGGGGCUGGCCCUGCUCCUGCUCGCCGUCGCGGCCGUCGCCUCGGCCGCCGACAUGUCGAUCAUCGCCUACAACGCGGAGCACGGGGCGCGCGGGCUGGAGCGCACGGAGGCGGAGGCCCGGGCCGUCUACGACCUCUGGCUGGCCGAGCACGGCGGCGGGUCCUACCCCAACGCCAACUCCAUCCCGGAGCGCGAGCGCCGGUUCCGGGCCUUCUGGGACAACCUCCGCUUCGUCGACGCCCACAACGCGCGCGCCGCGGCCGGCGAGGAGGGCUUCCGCCUCGCCAUGAACCGCUUCGCCGAUCUCACCAACGACGAGUUCCGCGCCGCCUACCUCGGGGUCAAGGGCCAGAGGGCGAGGCCCGGCCGCGUCGUCGGGGAGCGGUACCGCCACGACGGGGCCGAGGAGCUGCCCGAGGCCGUCGACUGGAGGGAGAAGGGCGCCGUCGCCCCCGUCAAGAACCAGGGCCAAUGCGGGAGUUGCUGGGCUUUUUCUGCGAUCAGCACAGUAGAGAGCAUCAACCAAAUUGUCACCGGUGAGAUGGUGACAUUAUCGGAGCAAGAGCUUGUGGAGUGUGACACCAACGGGCAGAGCAGUGGCUGCAAUGGGGGUCUUAUGGAUGACGCCUUUGAGUUCAUCAUAAAGAACGGUGGCAUUGAUACUGAAGAUGACUACCCUUACAAGGCUAUUGAUGGCAGAUGUGAUGUUCUCAGGAAAAAUGCCAAGGUGGUUAGCAUUGAUGGCUUCGAAGAUGUCCCUGAAAAUGACGAGAAAUCGCUGCAGAAGGCUGUUGCUCACCAGCCCGUGAGUGUUGCCAUUGAAGCUGGAGGCCGGGAGUUCCAGCUCUACCACUCGGGUGUCUUCAGUGGAAGGUGUGGCACGCAACUCGACCACGGUGUGGUUGCUGUUGGCUACGGCACCGAAAACGGCAAGGACUACUGGAUCGUCCGCAACUCAUGGGGUCCAAACUGGGGAGAGGCUGGGUACCUCCGCAUGGAGCGCAACAUCAACGUGACCAGUGGGAAGUGCGGGAUAGCCAUGAUGUCAUCGUACCCCACCAAGAAGGGCGCCAACCCGCCCAAGCCAGCCCCGACACCUCCCUCACCGCCGACGCCGCCUCCCCCAGUCGCCCCUGACCACGUCUGCGACGAGAACUUCUCAUGCCCUGCAGGCAGCACGUGCUGCUGCUCGUUCGGCUUCAGGAACCUUUGCCUGGUGUGGGGCUGCUGCCCGGCUGAAGGCGCCACCUGCUGCAAGGAUCACUCCAGCUGCUGCCCACCGGACUACCCCGUCUGCAAUGUCAGGGCUGGGACCUGCUCAGCGACCAAGAACAGCCCGCUGAGCGUGAAGGCCCUGAAGCGCACCCUGGCCAUGCGAAACACCGCAUGA
rnacentral:rRNA from 1 species